AUUGAACGCUGGCGGAAUGCUUUACACAUGCAAGUCGAACGGCAGCACGGGGCAACCUGGUGGCGAGUGGCGAACGGGUGAGUAAUACAUCGGAACGUGCCCAAUCGUGGGGGAUAACGUAGCGAAAGCUACGCUAAUACCGCAUACGAUCUACGGAUGAAAGCGGGGGAUCGCAAGACCUCGCGCGAAUGGAGCGGCCGAUGGCAGAUUAGGUAGUUGGUGGGGUAAAGGCUCACCAAGCCGACGAUCUGUAGCUGGUCUGAGAGGACGACCAGCCACACUGGGACUGAGACACGGCCCAGACUCCUACGGGAGGCAGCAGUGGGGAAUUUUGGACAAUGGGCGCAAGCCUGAUCCAGCCAUUCCGCGUGCAGGAUGAAGGCCUUCGGGUUGUAAACUGCUUUUGUACGGAACGAAAAGGCUCUGGUUAAUACCCGGGGCUCAUGACGGUACCGUAAGAAUAAGCACCGGCUAACUACGUGCCAGCAGCCGCGGUAA
rnacentral:rRNA from 1 species